CUACUACGUUUGAGGGAGGUAGACUGGGCAGCUAUAGCUGUGCAGAAGUACACUUCUUUUCUCAACCCUUGACUUUUUGCGCACUUGUGUUUCCUCGGCAGGCAUGCCUGCCGAUUGGACAAAUCAAUAACCUUUUUAAUUUUCAAUCAGCGUCUGAAUUAUUUUAAUAAUUACAACUUUCAACAACGGAUCUCUUGGUUCUGGCAUCGAUGAAGAACGCAGCGAAAUGCGAUAAGUAGUGUGAAUUGCAGAAUUCAGUGAAUCAUCGAAUCUUUGAACGCACAUUGCGCCCCUUGGUAUUCCAUGGGGCAUGCCUGUUCGAGCGUCAUUUGUACUCUCAAGCCUUGCUUGGUGUUGGGUGUUUGUCUUCGCCUCGCUUAGACUCGCCUUAAAUAUAUUGGCAGCCGGUAUACUGGUUUGAAGCGCAGCACAAUUGCAUUUCAGGCUCUUAGUACUAGCAUCCACAAAGAUUAUCAACACUU
rnacentral:misc_RNA from 1 species